rnacentral:lncRNA from 1 species
ACAAAAAAACUAAAAUAUUAUUAAUUAAAUAAAAUCAUCUGAUACAAUGAUCAUUCAUCAUCUUUACAAUCAAACUUCGUACGACUGAAAACUACAAAACCCGUCUUAGUUGACACUAUUUGUCAUCAAGAGGCUAACACUAGUGCCAUAUAUGAAAAAAAAAAUCAAGAAAGAAAUGUUUAUAAUAAAAAACAAUACUUAAGCUUACACAAGAGUUUCAACCAUGGUUCAUUCUUCAGGUAUUCUGCCAAUAUUAAAACAGUAUCAGCCCAGACCUUUGAAAAUCUCUUGUCCCUCAAGUCCUAGGGGUGCAAUUUUGUAAGGUCAUCAGCAACACCUACAAAAGUAGUACAAAAUAGAAAAUAGUUGAAUAAUCUUGUACAAAAAGCAAUAUUAUGUUUACUUCUAAAAUAAAUUAGAUGGUUCACAAUGGUAAAUCUAUGAUUAACCUUCAUUGGAGAAUACUUGGGAAUAAAAGAUGCAAUGCAGUAAAAAAAUUUAUUUUAAUAAAAACAAAGGGAGCAAGGAACCUUGACUCAGAUCUAUAGAUCAUGUAAGCCAAGAUAAAUUAAAGACCAUACUUCCAAAAAUUUAUGUAGUGUCUACAGUUAUGUAGUUAAAGAAACAGAUUACUGAGAGAGAGAGGGGGGAGAGAGAGAGACCGCAAUCAGCCCUUCAUACUCAGGAUUACAUCUAACAGUCCAUGUCCUGGCAACAAUAUUAAAAAAAAGUACGAAGAUCAACAUUGAGCAUACAAUAUAAGAAUUAUAUCCUCCCUCCGUCCCAAAAAUAUGUUUGCUUUCCAUGUAAUUUUCAUUGAAAAUGGCAUUCUUCCGGAUAGUGGGAGUUCAAAUUUUAAUAAAAGCAGCCUUGCAGCAUUAGUCUACAACGCAUACCAGUGUGCAUGUCUAGGGAGCUUCCACUU